GACGAACGCUGGCGGCGUGCUUAACACAUGCAAGUCGAACGAGAAGAGAUGAGAAGCUUGCUUCUUAUUGAUUCGAGUGGCAAACGGGUGAGUAACGCGUAAGCAACCUGCCCUUCAGAUGGGGACAACAGCUGGAAACGGCUGCUAAUACCGAAUACGUUCUUUUGUCGCAUGGCAGAGGGAAGAAAGGGAGGCUCUUCGGAGCUUUCGCUGAAGGAGGGGCUUGCGUCUGAUUAGCUAGUUGGAGGGGUAACGGCCCACCAAGGCGACGAUCAGUAGCCGACCUGAGAGGGUGACCGGCCACAUUGGGACUGAGACACGGCCCAA
rnacentral:rRNA from 1 species